GGAUAUAGCUCAGUGGUAGAGCGCAUGCUUAGCACACAUGAGGUCCUGGGUUCAAAUGCCAGUACCUCCA
rnacentral:tRNA from 1 species